rnacentral:rRNA from 1 species
CCUACGGGCGGCAGCAGUGAGGAAUAUUGGGCAAUGGACGAGAGUCUGAACCAGCCAAGUAGCGUGAAGGAUGACUGCCCUAUGGGUUGUAAACUUCUUUUAUAUGGGAAUAAAAUGUUCCACGUGUGUGAUUUUGUAUGUACCAUAUGAAUAAGGAUCGGCUAACUCCGUGCCAGCAGCCGCGGUAAUACGGAGGAUCCGAGCGUUAUCCGGAUUUAUUGGGUUUAAAGGGAGCGUAGGUGGAUUGUUAAGUCAGUUGUGAAAGUUUGCGGCUCAACCGUAAAAUUGCAGUUGAAACUGGCAGUCUUGAGUACAGUAGAGGUGGGCGGAAUUCGUGGUGUAGCGGUGAAAUGCUUAGAUAUCACGAAGAACUCCGAUUGCGAAGGCAGUUCACUGGACUGCAACUGACACUGAGGCUCGAAAGUGUGGGUAUCAAACAGGAUUAGAUACCCGGGUAGUC